GAUGAACGCUGGCGGCGUGCCUAGUACAUGCAAGUCGAGCGAACAGAUAAGGAGCUUGCUCCUUUGACGUUAGCGGCGGACGGGUGAGUAACACGUGGGUAACCUACCUAUAAGACUGGAAUAACUCCGGGAAACCGGGGCUAAUGCCGGAUAACAUUUAGAACCGCAUGGUUCUAAAGUGAAAGAUGGUUUUGCUAUCACUUAUAGAUGGACCCGCGCCGUAUUAGCUAGUUGGUAAGGUAACGGCUUACCAAGGCAACGAUACGUAGCCGACCUGAGAGGGUGAUCGGCCACACUGGAACUGAGACACGGUCCAGACUCCUACGGGAGGCAGCAGUAGGGAAUCUUCCGCAAUGGGCGAAAGCCUGACGGAGCAACGCCGCGUGAGUGAUGAAGGUCUUCGGAUCGUAAAACUCUGUUAUUAGGGAAGAACAAAUGUGUAAGUAACUGUGCACGCCUUGACGGUACCUAAUCAGAAAGCCACGGCUAACUACGUG
rnacentral:rRNA from 1 species